UUGGACUGAAGGGUGCUCCCU
rnacentral:miRNA from 1 species